UCCCUGGUGGCUCAGACGGUAAAGCGUCUGCCUGAAAUUCGGGAGACCCAGGUUCGAUUCCUGGGUUGGGAA
rnacentral:tRNA from 1 species